rnacentral:rRNA from 1 species
CCUCCGUGUUUCUGCCGUUUUUACUAUUUCCCACUUUCUUCCCCCCUUAUCCAGCUACUCCUCGUGAGUGAAGAAGUAAUUCGUUAUGUAAAGCUCUAUCAGCAGGGAAGAAAAUGACGGUACCUGAGUAAGAAGCCCCGGCUAACUACGUGCCAGCAGCCGCGGUAAUACGUAGGGGGCAAGCGUUAUCCGGAUUUACUGGGUGUAAAGGGAGCGUAGACGGCAGUGCAAGUCUGGAGUGAAAGGCGGGGGCUCAACCCCCGGACUGCUCUGGAAACUGUACGGCUGGAGUGCAGGAGAGGUAAGUGGAAUUCCUAGUGUAGCGGUGAAAUGCGUAGAUAUUAGGAGGAACACCAGUGGCGAAGGCGGCUUACUGGACUGUAACUGACGUUGAGGCUCGAAAGCGUGGGGAGCAAACAGGAUUAGAUACCCGAGUAGUC